rnacentral:tRNA from 1 species
GUUUCUAUAGUGUAGCGGUUUCACAUUUUCUUUACACACAGAAUGUCCUGGGUUCAAUUCCCAGUGGAACCA